rnacentral:rRNA from 1 species
AAAACAUCGCCUCCUGCAAUAUAACCAAGUAUAGGAGGUCCAGCCUGCCCAGUGACCACAAGUUCAACGGCCGCGGUAUUUUGACCGUGCAAAGGUAGCGCAAUCACUUGUCUUUUAAAUAGAGACCUGUAUGAAUGGCUAAACGAGGGCUUAACUGUCUCCCUUUUCAGGUCAGUGAAAUUGAUCUACCCGUGCAGAGGCGGGUAUAACAAUACAAGACGAGAAGACCCUUUGGAGCUUAAGGUACAAAACUCAACCACGUUAAGCAACUUAAUAAAAAGCAAAAACUCUGUGAAACAUGAAAUUUUACCUUCGGUUGGGGCGACCACGGAGGAAAAAGAAGCCUCCAAGUGGACUGGGGCGAACCCCUAGAACUAAGAGAGACAUCUCUAAGCCACAGAACAUCUGACCAAACAUGAUCCGGCCACCAGGACCGAUCAACGAACCAAGUUACCCUAGGGAUAACAGCGCAAUCCCCUCCCAGAGUCCAUAUCGACGAGGGGGUUUACGACCUCGAUGUUGGAUCAGGACAUCCUAAUGGUGCAGCCGCUAUUAAGGGUUCGUUUGUUCAACGAUUAAAGUCCUACGUGA